ACAAUCCUACGUGGCGCUCUCUCUUUCUCUUUCUCUUUCUCUUUCUCUUUCUCUCUCUCUCUCUCCCUCUCCUCUGUUCACAACCUUCUGUUGUCUCAAUUAUCUUCAACAAAUCUUUUGUAUUCAAAGUUGCAGAUCUCGAAAAGUUAUCGAAUUUAGACUCAAAAAUUACUCAAUUAGGAGUUGUGUGGUAGGAGUUAUGCCCAUUUGAAUUUUUCGGUUGUUGCUGCCAUUUUUGUUGCGCUGAUGCUCGUGUAGAAACAACAAGCUCUUCAUUGCUUCUCUAAAUUAUUUCCCUUUUUGUUAUGUGUAAGAGAUGACUCCAAUUUCUUAUCAUCUAUUGCACGCAAAGGUAAAAUUAGUCUUCUUAGUUUUCAAUCUUAUUUUCAAAAAGAAUAUUUCAAAUAGUUUAUGCCGAUAAUCAUAUAAUUCACUAUUACUAUAUUUUUAAUCAAAGGAAAUGGCUAAAAUUAGCUAAUUCAACGAUUGUUUUUUAUACCGUUGCAGUAGGAGCAUCUAUUGCAAGGUCAUUUUAGGUUUGUACACUAGUAGAAUAAAUGUUAAUUGCAGCGGUUGAAUUGUAACGGUCUUGUCAGUAUGCAACAAUAAACAUUGUUAAAAGAAAAUGAGAAAUCGAAAACAUACUUAUUGUUGCGGUUUUUGGUGGAAACCACAUCAGUUGAUGUCAAUGGAAGUUUUUUUCAAAAUUUUUUGACUGGUUUGACUAAAUUUAUUGCUGCGGUUUUCACCCAUGCAUAAGCACAUCAAUAUAUUAAAAUAUUAUUUUCAUAAUAUUUUAAUCUAUUGCUGCAGUAUCUAUAAGAAAUCGCAGCAAUAAUAUGGUCAUUAGGGUUUUUUUAACCUUUUUGCAAUAGGGUUAUUAGGCGCCAUUUUAUCCUUCACCCCUCAUUUUCAUCAGUUCAACCUCACCCUCUCUCACUCACCCUUCACCCUCCACCCUCCCUCCUCCUCUUUCUCACUCAUCUCUAGAUAUGCUCCUUCCUCCUCUAUCACUCUCACCCUCCUUCCUCCUCUAUCACGCUCACCCUGCACCCUCGUUACUCGCCAUCGUUGGUCAAUUCUCGUCGUUCUUCUCCUUCAUCGGCCUUCUCCUUCAUCGGCCUUCUCCUUCAUCAUCCUCGAGCUUCCUUCUCGUCGUUCUUCUCUUUCGCCGACCUUUCUUCUUAUCCGUUCACCAGACGAUACUCCAGUCCUCGUCAUCAUCGUUCUUCGCUCGACCUCGUCGACUUUUGUACUUUUUUCACCAAACGAAAGUUCGUGGCUUGGGUCGCCGUGGCUCGGUCGUACCGUAGCUUGGGUCGUCGUGGCUCGAUACUGUAACUUUCUUUAUUUAGUUUCAAUUUCUUCUUUAGUUAGUUUCAUUUCCUCAUUUUCUUUUAUGGUUCAUUUUUUUUUAUCUUUUGUAUAUUGUAAUUGUUUUAUUUUCAUUAUUAAUGAUUUUGUACACAAUGUAUGGAUUCAAUGUGUUGUAA